GAUGAACGCUAGCGGCAGGCUUAAUACAUGCAAGACGAACGGUAACUGGUGUAGCAAUACAUUAGCAAGAGUGUCGUACGGGUGCGUAACACGUAUGCAACCUACCUUGUACAGGAGGAUAGCUCGGGGAAACGUACGAAUUAACCCUCCAUGAGAUCACAGUGUGGCAUCACAUAGUGAUUAAACUACAGGUGGUACAAGAUGGCAUGCGCUGAUUAGUUAGUUGGCGGGU
rnacentral:rRNA from 1 species